rnacentral:rRNA from 1 species
AUUGAACGCUGGCGGAAUGCUUUACACAUGCAAGUCGAACGGCAGCACGGAGGCAACCCUGGUGGCGAGUGGCGAACGAGUGAGUAAUACAUCGGAACGUGCCCAGUCGUGGGGGAUAACGUAGCGAAAGUUACGCUAAUACCGCAUACGAUCUACGGAUGAAAGCGGGGGACCGUAAGGCCUCGCGCGAUUGGAGCGGCCGAUGUCAGAUUAGGUAGUUGGUGAGGUAAAGGCUCACCAAGCCGACGAUCUGUAGCUGGUCUGAGAGGACGACCGGCCACACUGGGACUGAGACACGGCCCAGACUCCUACGGGAGGCAGCAGUGGGGAAUUUUGGACAAUGGGCGCAAGCCUGAUCCAGCCAUUCCGCGUGCAGGACGAAGGCCUUCGGGUUGUAAACUGCUUUUGCACGGAACGAAAAGGCUCUGGUUAAUACCUGGGGCUCAUGACGGUACCGUAAGAAUAAGCACCGGCUAACUACGUGCCAGCAGCCGCCGUAA